UCGAUGGCGCCCUUCCGCUUUAGCAUGUCUAUGUUUGCUAGGGCCCCAGCCUUCGCUGACUCGGUCAUCGCCUUUGCAUACUCCGCCGACUGCUUGAAUGCUUCAACAGCGGUGGCCGCGGUAGUAUCCCCUUCAGCCCUCAGGCGGGCAACCUGGCCUUCCAGCCGCUUCAGCUCCGUCACCCUGGCGGCGGACUCCCGCUGCACGAUAAUGAGUUUCUUGUCCUUAGCGGCAAUCCACUCCUGCAGCAGUGUGACGUCCUGCUCCAACUUGGAGACGCGUUCAUUCCUCUCCAAGUCCCGCUCGAUGGCCACGUUGAGCUUACCGCGGGCGUCGGCAAAGUCACAUUCCGCCUUGGCCAGCCGCCUUUCUGUUUCCGCCAGGUUCUCCCUCGCCUCCGCCAGCUCCCUCUGGAGGCUUUGAAUCUCCUCCCUCAGCUCCCCUUCGACCAGAGGCUGCUUCUUUGCCGCCUCAAACAUGUCGUGCAGCUCAGCUGUAGGGCGAUUGGUCAAUCGCGGUCGGGCGUGAGAUCCCCGCUAGGCCGCCAAACCCUAGCCUUUCGCACAGAUGGAAGAGGAACUCCCGCUCACCAUCUGUCAUAAACUCCGCGUAGGCGGCGAAGGAGUCCAAGUCACUGGCGGCGGGCGCCUCCCCUUCCACCACAGCAGCUUUCAGCGGGGCUUGACGGGCCUUCUUCUGCUGCCGGCCCCCGAUAAUCUCCACAUCCUCCCCCUCUUCCUCGUCGGGGGAGUCUAUCUGCCGGCGCUUCCUCUCGAGCGCCCUUGUGUUCCUCGCCGGCGGCUCCUCCCUUGGCGCGGUGACAAUCCCUGCCGGCUGCACCGGUCUUUCUUUCUGGGUACCACGCCUGUUGGCGGGUACCCUUUCCUUUUGAGCAGCCACUGUUGCGGCCCCCUUUUUGCCGCCUGCCACGGGAGCCCCAGCUUGAACGACGGGCAGGCCGUCGGCACCCAGAUGGGAAUGGUGCGGCAUUGGCAGCACCACAGGAACCUCGGACUGGCUUACCGCCAGGGUCUCGGGGUUCACCAAGGUCUUCUGGGCCGCCAGACCCUCGGCGUACAUCGUCCAGGAAGUUGUCAACCUCCGCACGAUCCAUCACUUUUUCGAAAGCGUCGCGGCUGGCUUUAUUGCCUGGCGGAGUUUCUAUAAAAAAAAAAUAAUAAACCAGUCAGUCUCGGCUACUUAUUACAAAAAAAAAAAACAGAGAGCAGUCUAGCGAAAAUUUCCUACCAACGGAGCGAGUAAGUUUCUGCUCGACUAACAACUCCCAACGAGUCAGAAGUCGGAAGUCUAGCAAGUUGCGGUUCCGCCAACAACCUCUGAUCCGCGCCACGCGACACUCCUCCUCCCGCGUUAGGUUGUACCGCAGUCCCGCUGCACAAACACAAGUGGAUUAGUAAAAGUACCAAGUCUGCAAAAUACAAGAACCCGCCAGCUACGUCCAGCGGAAACUGGUUACCAACCUCGGAUAGGUUGGAACUCCGACUUAAUCCUAAACGUCGGCCCUUCCUCGUUCGCCCCAGCCUGAUACUCCCACCCCUCUGUGGCGACGCAGAAGGUCCCCCGCCAGUAGGACAUUGAAUCCCUUAGAUUCUCGAUCAGCUUGGGCGCUCCCUGGCAGCGGCUCAAGUUCACUUGCCCUCUGCAACCCUAGCGCUUCACGUACACCAGCUCGUAGAAGUGAAGUACUUCCGCCACGGUAGGCCCCUCGCACCCGGACAACCGCCACAGUGAGUUCAUUGCCAGCAUCAACCGCCACAUGUUGCGGCAAAUCUGACCGAAGGCAAGGCCAAAUUCGCACACCAGGAUUUGGAGAUUUGGCACCAGCCGGAGUGUCACUCCUUGGCGGAAUAUAGCCUCAUGCACGGCCGCAGAUCCCUCUAGGAGAAUCGACGCCCUCUCAUCCACCGUCGGCGGGCGCAGCUUCACCGAGCCCUGCAACCGGAACGUCUUCUUCAUUCGAGUCACGGCGGCGGCGUUCAUCCGCCCUCCUGCCUCGUCAACGGCGGUGCCAUCCUGGAGGAACCAUGCUGACUCAGCAUUCUCCCCCGCUGUUUCUUCUUCCCCAGCGGAGCCGCUUGCAGCGCUAUUACUCGCCAAACGCUCGUCGCGCCUAGCUUUGGCAGCAGCGGCCUCACCCGCCCUAGAGCUCUCUGGACGUGGACCACGACCCAUAGUUACUUCCCAAGGUAUGGUCUGUAGCGGCUCAACCUCUAGCGGUUCUGGCAGUGAGGUUCCUGCAUGGGCAGACGGACGCAACGAGUCAAUAAAUAUCCUAUCCGCCGAGCUGAACGACACGUCAGACCCGGAAUCCUCACUGCUCGAAAUCUCUAUGACGUUAGCCAUCCCAAACCCUAAAACCCACACCAGUUAGCACAAACACAGAUCUAGCCUAUUCUUACAUCAGUUAUAGCCAAGAGCAUCAAGAACAAUUUACCCAGAAAAUGCCAAAAUAAGAACAAACACACUCAACCCAGAUUCGACCAUCUAACAAAUCCCUAAACGCCAACUCUCUGCCAACCACCAUAACCCAAACCCCCCCAAAUCUCACUUUACACCUCAGAACACGCCAAAGAAAAACAGAAAUCAUCCCAAAAAACCAAAAACAACAAAACCCAGAAAAUAGCAGAUCCAAUGAAACAGGGAAAAGGGAAUCCAGAUACCAACCUCGGUGGUGAAGCCUACGAUAUGAUGGUGCACAGUAAUCUUAGGGGGGUGAGAUCGUCGUUUCUCAGGGAACGGUAUCUCCAAGUUUUGGCAACUUCUUUCUUCAGUCUCGGACGAACAGAGCGAGAGGACGACGACUGUGAGUUUGAAGCUUUUACCAAAGUGUCAAAUCUCGCUGGGUUUUCCCCCCUUUUAUGUCAACAUCAGCGCGUUCUCAGCCGUCCGCUAAAAACACGACAUCACACGACAGCCGUACACGUGUCACAGACCUCCACUUACUCUCCGGAUUAACCGAAGCGUCGCCUCGGUUACGAAAUCCAUAAUUACUAUCAUUUAUGGCGAGAAGACGGCCAGGCUUAGGAGACAAGCCUCCGCACGCUAACCCUCUGCGGGUUGGACACGUGUCAACCACCACCAGACGAAGCGUCUGGUGGAAGUAACUACUUGGGAUCACUUCCCCAACCCUCCAAAGUCUCUGCUGAGCGAAACCCCGCCAGCAGAACUUCUCCCUUGUCACCUUCCAAGUGACGAAGUCUCCGCUGAGCGAAACCCCGCCAGCGGAACUUCUCCCUUGUCACCUUCCAUGUGACGAAGUCUCCGCUGAGCGAAACCCCGCCAGCGGAACUUCUCCCUUGUCACCUUCCAAGUGACGAAGUCUUCGCUGAGCGAAACCCCGCCAGCGGAACUUCUCCCUUGUCAUCUUCCAAGUGACGAAGUCUCCGCUGAGGGAAACCCCGCCAGCGGAACUUCUUCCUUGCCAUCCGGCAAGCGGAGCGUCUUCCGCUACACACCUCUAGCGGAUCCCCCUUUUCAUCUUGCAAGCUGCGUGCUUUGUUCAGCGCAAUAUCGCUCAAUGAAGUACCACCUGGCACGUCUACUGGACACUGCUUCCUGCUGCAAUCAGCGGGGGGAUAUCCGCCAGCGGCGGAUCCCGAGGCCACGCCUCACUCUGACAACGCCCGCCACGCGGCGUUACGGUCAGACCGUCCCUACGGGACACGGGGACUUGUCAACAGUCUACGACGGCCCUGAUCAGGCACGUUGACCCCAGUCACUCGGGUACUAAGAUUGAGUUCGCUACUCAACACCCUCUGCUCCGUGCAGCUCCCCCUCAACAAAUAAUUUGCCGACCAUCCGGAGGUCUAUCUUAGCCGGGGAGUGGGGGACUCCCUGGGGGGCCUAGCAGGGGCCCACCCGAAAGGGUAUAAAGCGUUUGCUCAUUAAAUCCAUGGUUGACAACGCACUAACGCUAAUUAUGCUCUUGCAAGUCUAGCGGAAGAAAACGCUUCAAACCGCCGAGCAACUCCCCAACCAAGAUUGCCCUCCUUGACUGGGGACUUGGGGGACUUGUACAUACAUGUACAUUUGCAAGCAUAAUUAGCUAUAAUGGGCCACGCUCAUUGUACCACCAAAGGUACUAAUUCCAACCAAAGGAAUGACAUGCAGACACACCGCCAGGCGGGCUACAGCCUCAGCGUCGGAUCACCUCCAGAUCGCCGCCGACGCGCCGCCACGCGUCGCGCCAAGAUUGCAUCAGAAGCUUCUGAAACUGGGAACUGAAGCAUAUCAGUCCCACAUCGAAAACAAGGAAGAGGUCAGCCUCCUCCUCACCUAUAAAAGGUUCUCUCCUCUCUCCUCAUUAAUUACGCAUUCAAUACUUACCUACUGUUACUUUGUCAACAUAAAUACACUGACUAACUUAGGCAUCGGAGAGUUGAAGACCGCCCAACGCGGUCUCCCUCUGACGCCCUUUGUAUUUUACUUGACAGGUAGCGGAGGCUUUGAGAGCACCACAAGUAUCGAUCCGCUCACCGGAUCAGCGUUAACAAAGGUUCAGCUACCGCCGGACUUUUAGGCAUUAACACAGACACCAAGAAACUUGUGUUCUACCCUAAUGGAAACAAGAAGAAGAAAGUACAAAACCACAACUCACUCUACUUAGUAAUGGCUGAAGCAGAUUCAUUACAUAGUGGUUGGGUAUAUGUUGAUUUCAGAUUGUUUCUGCUCGAUCAGAAUAAGGGAGUCUGCUUAGUCUUUAAAGGUACUUACAGCUUCACCGACGUGUCUUCAAGUUGGGGUUGGCGUACAUUUAUUAUAGAAAACAUUUUCAGGCAACCAGACAAGGGGUUUUUGAUGAAUGAUACUUGCGUAGUGGAAGCAGAAGUGAGUGUCCAUGGAAGCAGAGGAUACAAGUGGUUUUCUCCCUCUAAGAGCGUGGCCGCUCCCUUCCAGUCAUGCUUGUGCACCUUGGAUUUCGACCCUAGCUCUAGAAAAAGGACGGUGUGUCUAUAUGUACUCACUGGUUCAGUUUUCUCCACUUUUAGUACGAAAUUUGAAACUGAUUAACCGGAUCGAUAAUUUUUUUUUUAUCUGAAGAAAACUUCAUUAAUAAUGAAUUCGAGUAACAAUCUACACUUAUUCCCCAACAUGGUAGAAAAGUUAGAUAGUUACCCACAGUGGCGGAGCC